rnacentral:lncRNA from 1 species
GCUAUUCGUUUCGGCGGUACCCAGUGCAUGCCUUUCGCCUUGCCUCCCUUCCUAACCUUGCUCGAUCCAAUAGCCCGAUCCUAGCCCACUCACCUUUCUCCAAGAUUGAAGUUAGAACUAGGAGUCCUAAAAUCUUAAUGAAAAGGAGCUUGGCAUCCAUGUGUUCGAGAGGUAGAAAACGACCGCUGUGGCGGGGUUUACCAGGUAGGUAUAAUUCAACGGGACCCUAUCCCGUCCUGUGGUCCUGAACAAAGGUUCCAUCCUGAAAAUAAAAGAGAGCCUUCACGGAAAAACUGUUGGAACGAGAUCUCUCAUACAAAAAGACCUGAACUAACUACUCGCUCAAUGCGCAUUGAAAUUCUAAUGAAUGCCCUUAUUUAGCAUCUUUGAGUUGAGCUUAGCCCUCUUCCUAUCCUAAACCCCUAGAAUCAUAAGGAACGAUUGAUGGUUGAUCUG